AUAUUUGAGUUGUGAAACAAACAAUAAAAUCAAUUUCUAUGGUUCUAAGUUCUAACAUAGGACAAGCAAGUGCCUGAGCAUGUGUGCUUGCUUGUUGAGAAUUAAGAUUAGUAAUUAUUUUAGAAAAAAUCUGCAGUUUCAAAAGUAAACAUAAAAUUCAAACUUUUAAGUUUUCCCUGAAAUCAAACUUUUAAGCUUUCUCCUUUUAGCAAGUUUAAAAUGCUAGCCAAUUUGCUUAUUGAAAGUCAAGGACAUAUGUUUAACCAUUUGAAAAGGGAAACAUUUAUCAUCUAGCAGCUCUGAGAUUAAUACAAGUAAAAACAAAAUAAUGCUUGUAAUUGCUGCUUGCUCUCAAUCUCUUUUAGUACACUUGGACCGUCUUUUCUGUUGCCUGGUUUUCUAACCUAAAUGUUUUUACUUUCUUUCUUUUGUCAAUUUAACUUUGAGUUUUUAGCUCCUUUACAUGCUUAGAUGAACUGAGGUAGUGGGGCUCAUCAUGCAUGCCAUAGGAUAGCCUUGGCUUGGGUCUGGUUUCUGGCCGUGGCUCUCUAGGCCUUGAACUGGUUGGCAUGGGGUCAUUUUGGGAUUGUUUUGGUUCAGUUCAGAUUGAAACAAUACAACAAUUGAAAUUGUUUUCUCCUUAAAAAAAAAUAAAUGUGUCAAAACUGAAGGUUCCUGUCUGAUCCAAUUCAAGGUUCGGUGAAGGGGGCUAAGCUCGGCUCUUAGGGGCCACAAUUCCUGCCGAUUCAGAACCAUGGACUGUUCAAUGGUCGUGGGUCUGGGUUUCACCGGUAUGGUUUCGAUUCGAGCCCAACUCUGAACUGGCCAUGGCCGAGACUAUGGUAGGAUAUUUGAAAUGCUCACCACAAUUUAUAAUGUAUGAAUUGUGAAAUUGGAGCUUUUAAGACAUUAUUUUUGUCCUCAAUUUGGAAAUUUUUACACUUUUUCUUUAAUGCUCAAGCAAGAAGGCAAAGUACGUCUCCUCAUGAUUGCACUUUAUAUUUGAUAAUAGGAACUGAACAUUGUAUUGCUGGCCAAUUAUAAUCCUGAUUGUAUAUUAAAUUUCAUGUGCCAUGUUGAUUGGAUACACUAGAUGUUUUGCUGAUCCUGAUGAUGAUUAUGAUGUAGGUAACAAAUACACCAUGGGGUGAAAGAGUCAUAUUUGUUUUCGAUCCAAACUCAGAUUUAGUGGCAAAACCAUUGCAUGUCAGCCCUUUUAUGGAUAUGUUGGGGGAUUGGAGAAUCAGAGCAAAUGCUCCUGGUGACGGCUUAUCUGUGUCCAUUUCAGUUCAACACCCUGAGCUCGGUGACUAUUUUGUGGCUACUUUGAAAGCUAAAAGAAUCUCCCUGUUCUUGGGUAGUGAUCAUGAUUUGUUCUUCUGGUUGAUGCCUCAUAAAGUUGCAUUCUGGAUAUAUUGGCAUGCCCUUAAACUGUGGUGGAAAAAUGUGCCAUAUAUCCAACACCCAAGGUAUAAUAGCCCUAAAUAUAGGGAGGAAGCAAUGGCACGUGAUCAAAAGCUUCAAUGCAGUCAAGCACCUGCAAAGGACAAGGAUAAAUAUUUGCCCCAUGAUGGAUUUUGUCCAGGAAAUUUCUCUGACGGGAAUUAUAUAGAACGCCAGUUUAAGUGGAGAGAUGCCAAAUGGCCUUGGGGUUGAACUCUGAGGCGAAGCUUUUCAUUGAGUUGUAUUUAAUGCAACUGAAUGCUUCUUAAUGUCCUCUGUGUCAACAUGUUAUGUUUAUCUACCUAAUGGUUUUAUCAAUAAGAAAUGCAGCUAUAACUAGAUUUGCCCUCUCCUAUGUGAAUUAUGGUUGAAGUCAUAUUAGUUAUUGCACUAAUUAAUGGAACUCGAUGUUGGUUGUAUUGAAACGAUGUUGUUUGUAUUGAAGAAAUAAAAGUUCCAACAUUGCUAAUUGCUUGUUUGUU
rnacentral:misc_RNA from 1 species